GAUGAACGCUGGCGGCGUGCCUAAUACAUGCAAGUCGAGCGAACAGACGAGGAGCUUGCUCCUCUGAUGUUAGCGGCGGACGGGUGAGUAACACGUGGAUAACCUACCUAUAAGGCUGGGAUAACUUCGGGAAACCGGAGCUAAUACCGGAUAAUAUAUUGAACCGCAUGGUUCAAUAGUGAAAGACGGUUUUGCUGUCACUUAUAGAUGGAUCCGCGCCGCAUUAGCUAGUUGGUAAGGUAACGGCUUACCAAGGCAACGAUGCGUAGCCGACCUGAGAGGGUGAUCGGCCACACUGGAACUGAGACACGGUCCAGACUCCUACGGGAGGCAGCAGUAGGGAAUCUUCCGCAAUGGGCGAAAGCCUGACGGAGCAACGCCGCGUGAGUGAUGAAGGUCUUCGGAUCGUAAAACUCUGUUAUUAGGGAAGAACAAAUGUGUAAGUAACUAUGCACGUCUUGACGGUACCUAAUCAGAAAGCCACGGCUAACUACGUG
rnacentral:rRNA from 1 species